AACGUAGGACGCAAGCGUUAUCCGGAGUUACUGGGCGUAAAGGGCGUGUAGGCGGUGGGACAAGUCACCCGUGAAAGACUUCGGCUCAACCGGGGGAGGUCGGGUGAUACUGUUCGACUAGAGGAUGUCAGAGGGACACGGAAUUCCGGGUGUAGUGGUGAAAUGCGUAGAGAUCCGGAGGAACACCAGUGGCGCAGGCGGUGUCCUGGGGCGUACCUGACGCUGAGACGCGAAAGCAUGGGGAGCGAACGGG
rnacentral:rRNA from 1 species